rnacentral:rRNA from 1 species
UACGUAGGAUCCAAGCGUUGUCCGGAUUUACUGGGUGUAAAGGGUGCGCAGGCGGACUGGUAAGUCAGUCGUGAAAUCUCGGCGCUCAACGCCGAAACGUCUUUUGAUACUGUCAGUCUUGAAUAAGCGAGAGAUCCGUGGAAUUCCGAGUGUAGCAGUGAAAUGUGUAGAUAUUCGGAAGAACACCAGCGGCGAAGGCAGCGGGUUGGCGCUUUAUUGACGCUCAGGCACGAAAGCAUGGGGAUCAAACAGG